rnacentral:lncRNA from 1 species
UCUUAUUUCCUCCUCGAUCUCUCUCUCACUCAUUCUUUGGUUUCUUUUCUUAAUUUUUUUCUUUAAGCCACACCAUUAUAUUCCCAAUUAUCUUCUUCCAAAUAGGUUGUUAUUUCUUACCUGUUUAUGGUAAGUAACAAUGGAGGCAGGAUGUUAAGAGUAUAAUUGGGAAUACUUCCUCUGGAACAUAUGAAUACCUUUGCUUGAUCUUGCAAUUCAAUGCCUAAGAAAAACUUCCUCUGGAACAUAUGAACCUUUGCUUGAUCUUGCAAUUCAAUGCCUAAGAAAAACUUCCUCUGGAACAUAUGAAUACCUUCGCUUGAUCUUGUAAUUCAAUGCCUAAGAAAAACUUCAAUUCACCUAAGUCUUUCAUUUUGAAUUUUUUCUCGAGAUCAUGCAUGAUCUUCU